rnacentral:rRNA from 1 species
UACAGAGGUGGCAAGCGUUGUUCGGAAUUACUGGGCGUAAAGGGCGCGUAGGCGGCCAUCUAAGUCAGACGUGAAAUCCCCCCGGCUUAACCUGGGAACUGCGUCUGAUACUGGACGGCUUGAGUAUGGGGAGAGGGAUGUAGAAUUCCAGGUGUAGCGGUGAAAUGCGUAGAUAUCUGGAGGAAUACCGGUGGCGAAGGCGGCAUCCUGGACCAUUACUGACGCUGAGGCGCGAAAGCUAGGGGAGCAAACGGG